rnacentral:rRNA from 1 species
ACUACGGGAGGCUGCAGUGGGGAAUAUUGGACAAUGGGCGCAAGCCUGAUCCAGCCAUGCCGCGUGGGUGAAGAAGGCCUUCGGGUUGUAAAGCCCUUUUGUCCGGGAAGAAAUCGUCUGGGCUAAUACCCCGGGCGGAUGACGGUACCGGAAGAAUAAGCACCGGCUAACUUCGUGCCAGCAGCCGCGGUAAUACGAAGGGUGCAAGCGUUACUCGGAAUUACUGGGCGUAAAGCGUGCGUAGGCGGUUCGUUAAGUCCGAUGUGAAAGCCCUGGGCUCAACCUGGGAACUGCAUUGGAAACUGGCGGGCUGGAGUGCGGUAGAGGGUGGCGGAAUUCCCGGUGUAGCAGUGAAAUGCGUAGAUAUCGGGAGGAACAUCCGUGGCGAAGGCGGCCACCUGGACCAGCACUGACGCUGAGGCACGAAAGCGUGGGGAGCAAACAGGAUUAGAUACCCUAGUAGUC